GAUAAAAUCAACUUUUCUUUUUAAUGGCUAUGUAAAAAUAGUGAAGCCUAGAGUAUCUAAAAGUGGUCAUAUAGGGCAUAUAGCUCACUGGUGAGAGAGAAAAAUGUUGAGAUCUGCUGUUAUAUUGAAAAAAAAAGGCGAUACUUAAAUUCUAGAAAGAGAUUGGCAAUGAUGAGAAGUGUUUUUAAAUAUAACAACAGAUCUCCAAUGCCUGUACCAGAAGUAAGCCUCAUGCAUACAGAGGAAUAGGAAGUUUAGUCACUAAACUGUGCUACUUACAAGACAGCACUGUCCCCAGUAAAUAUAUAUCCGGGUUUCUAAGCACUUAUUUAGUUUGUAGCUGUUGCCAAGGGUCCAAUCAAGCAUACAACAAACAUUUAUGGAGUGCCUACUAUAUCUCAAGACGAGGUGCUGGACAUAUGGUGGAGAGGAUGCCAAACCAAUCAUUGCUUUCUUAGAAUGGUGUGGCAGAUAUAAUGGAAAAUAGUCCAUUCACGGUUUCUUUGGGAGUUAGACCUGACUGAUUUGUUAAUUGAUUAGAUACAGAUAAUGAAGAAAAAGAGACACCAUGAGGUUGAUUACUGGGGUUUUGGCUAAGGAAGCUGAGAGGAGGAUAGUGUUAUUUAUGGAUUACAACUGAAAUAUAUAUUCCCAGAGACAAGAAUUCCAGGAUUACGUUCUGAUUACUCAAAGUUUUGGUUGUGGUAACUCUGAAGUAUUUUCUGGGAGUCAUCUUAGGCCUCAGAGAGAGCCUGUUCCUUUAGCCUCUCCAUCAUUCAGACAGCACCUAAAUUCCCUGUAUUACAUCCCUUUAUCUUGCACAUGCUAAAAGAUUUCUAUUUUUUGCAACUAAACCCUGACAGUGUGAGCGUGGAGAAAAUCAGGAAGAAAACAAGUCAGUGAAGACAAGAGGAAAAAAAAUAUUUUAUGAAAGAGAGAACUGUUGAUUCUGUUGAAUUGUGGAAUGCCGCUGAAAAAUCAAAUCAAAUGAAUCAAAAGGAGUGAUCUGUGGAUUUAAAAUGGAGUGAUUGGUGCUGAUGGUAACUACAAUUCAGUAUAAUGUUAAAGAGAAGCCCAAGUAGAUGAGUUUGAGGAGCAAAUAGGAAAUAAGAAGUAACAUAAAAACUAUGUAGAUAAAUCUUGUAAGUAGUUUUGUUGUGAUAGGGAGCAGAGAAAUGUUAUAGCAGUAAAGAGGGAAGAAGGGGUCAAGGAUGGAUGUAUUUUGGAGUGGAGUUAUUUCGUGUAUCAGUUAUCUUGCUUUUGGUUGCAAGUUACAGAAAUUCCAAUUCAAAUUGGCUUAGGCAAUAAAAAUUGAAAUUGGAACGAUUCAUGUAACUGAAAAAGGGCCAUAAUUAAGGAUUCCAACUGUAUUUUUCUGCAGCUCUUAGUUCCACAGUUUUCUUUAUACUCAAUUUCAGCUUUUAUUAUAAUAAAAUAGCAAAAUAGUGGUUCUGGUUUUCCUAACUUUACAGCACGCAGAUCAAAGUGAGAGGAAACUCAGGUCCUGACAUUCACUCCAAUGGGACCAACACGAAUUCAUCAUAAUUUCCAGAGAAUUUUCAUUAAUUGAAUGGCUAGGUUGUGUGCUCCUGCCACUCCCCAAAUCAAUAGCUGUGUAUAGGGGAAUAACAUUACCUGAAUUGCUUCUACCUUGAAGCUGAAGAGCAGGGGGCUGGGGGUGGAUCUCAUCCAACAUUUGGCUGAUGGACAAUGUGGGGUAGAAGGGAUGGUCAAGUUCAUACCCUAAUGCAUUGUCUGCGUGCUGUGGGAAAGAAGCCAUUGAAGGAAAUCAAUAACAGGUCAGGGAGGAGAGGUGAUUUCAGAGUGAGACUGAGACAGCAGGAGAACUUCAGAACUGGCCUUGCAUAGAAGAGGGUCACUUUCACCACUGAGAAGAGAGAAGAGAGUGUUACCAUGUCACCUGGGCAGAAAGCAGCUGGCUCUCCCUGGGAGGAGGAGGGGCUUCUCUUUUCCCAGAAAAGUAUAAGAUCAUCAGUUGAUGGUGAAGGAGGCAGAGGCUGAGGAAUGUCACACAAGAGGGGAAGGUGUGAAAUCAUCAUUUUGGAGAUUGUGAAAGUGAAAUGUGGGAGGUAUGCAGUGACCGAGAACCACUAUCAUUUUCUACUUCUGUUUUGAAAGAUUGCAUUGUCCUCACCCUCAUUAGUGAGCUUGAAGUGAUUAUUAGUUUCCCCUUUUUCUAUUUUCCUCACUCCCAAUUUGUAGAGAUGAUUUUUCUUAAAAAUUAAAGAAAAAUUCAUUCUUUACCUCUCAUUCCACUGUCACUCCUCUGGUAUAAACUGUCAUCUUUGCUCUGGAGGAUUAUUGUGGCAGCCCCAGAAGAAAUCUCCUUAUCUUUAGACGCUUCCUUCCCUGAUCCAAUCAUACUGCUGUCAGAAUAAUCAUCCCUAAAUACAGCUUUUGUCAUGUUGUUUCCUUGUUCACUGCAUCUGCCUGAGUUUCAGAGGGCUUUAGGCAAGGUCUUCCCUGUAUUUUUUUCCCCUUUGCUUUCCAAUAUAGAAAUCUCUAGUCCUGUCAGUCUUGUCUUUUCCUUUGCCCAAGAACUUAAUGUCAUAUUCCUUUCCACUUUUCUGUGUUCAUUCAUAGACCCCAUGCUAGAAAUUGCAAAUGUGCUCUUCUCACUACAUCAACUCACAUGUAUCCUCUAGGACUCAGCUGUGGAAUUUUCUGGGAUGAUGGAAAUAUUUUCUAUCGGCAUAGCCACAUGUAGCUAUUAAGCCCUUAUCGUGAGUGAGGAACUUACAUUUAAUUUUAUUUUUACUUAUAUAUAAUUUUACUUAUGUGUAAACUUCAAUGUAAAUAGCUAUGUGUGGCUAGUGGCUGCCACACGGAUACACAGCUUUAGGACCUACGCUUCAUCCUGUUCUUGCCUAAAAGCCGCUUAACCAGUUCAACAUUGACAGACAUUCCCCCUUGUGUGAAGUCCUGCAGCUUUGAUGAUCUCUAUUGCACAGCUAUACAUUUAGUUCUAUAUUUUCCUGCUUUCAAGUUUUUACACUUGCCUUGUUUCUCCCUUUGUCUUAUUUUUCUCUUUACCUUACAACAUUUAGCUCAUAACAUAUCCUUCAUUACAUACUUGACUAAAGUUUUGAAUUGUUUAUGUGCAAGGGGAUGCUUCUCCCCUACUAAAACAAGAUAGAAAGUCAAAGAUAAAAAUGGAGGAUGGAAGGUCCCAUCGUGGCUCAAUGGAAACGAAUCUGACUAGCAUCCACCAGGAGGUAAGUUUGAUCCCUGGCCUGGCUCAGUAGGUUAAGGAUCCGACGUUGCCAUGAGCUGUGGUGCAGGUUGCAGAUGCGGCUAGGAUUCUGCAUUGCUGUGGCUGUGGUGUAGGUCUGUGGUUACAGCUCUGAUUCAGCCCAUAGCCUGGGAACCUCCUCAUGCCAUGGAUGCAACCCUUAAAAAAAAAAAAGGAGGAUGUUCUUUGGCAGGAAGGAAAUUCAAAAUAGCUUCUUCUCUUUGUUCUUCUUGAGUUCCUUUCUCUCCCUUGGAUGGCUCCCACUUUCCUUCCUUCUUGGAGGAGUUAAAACAUCAUUAUUUUAUACACUUUGAAAAAUUGUUUUCUGACAUAUGAUGCAAUAGCAUUGCUGCUAUGAAGACAGUAGUAUCUUAACUGCUGCUCUGUGGUAUGUUAAAAAUACAUGGUUAGUUUUACUAGGGAGUUACUCAGAUGUAUAUACUCUUUCCCUGGAAGUUGUGGAAUCAUCUGAUUUCUACAGUUUACUAGUCUAACUUGUCCUCUAGUAAUGUAACCUAAAAGACUUUUAAUUUGAGGACAUUCGACUUUUUAAGUAGGAGGUAAAGGGCCAUGUUGCUGGUCUGGAGGGGAUCACUCAGUAAUUCUGUACCACCCCUCUCCUGAAGGGUUAUUCAAAUUCACUUAUAUAAUACGUGGAUUUUUCUGUAGUGAUUAGCCCCCAGGCAUUUAGUUGAAAGACAAGUAGCCAUUCUCCUUUUCCCUCCAAUGGGAAGAAGCCUUCACUUAUGCAAAUGACGGUGCUCAUGCUGUGGACCCGCAGAGAGUGCCUGACACAGUGGCAGCAAUAGAGAUAUAAAUCCCUUCACUAUUCAUGAAGCUGCUUCAGCGGUCAGUGAUGCUCAUUUGCAUGUUAACACCAGCAAAAAGGAUGCAAAACAUGAAUGCCCAACUUUUCAAAGGGGAGGAGGACAAGAGUGGAGUAAAAGCCCAGGAUAGACAUUGAGUUUGGUUUUGCUUUCUAGACAGCAAAAGCCUAGGAACCAAAUUAGCUUGCCAUUCCAUUUUUCUUAAAAAAUAAAAAUAGUUCUGUUUGUCCCUGCCAGAUCAGGCUACUUGAUUUUCUUCUACCAUUUUUUAAAACUUGAAUUUAAACUUUUACACUUGGAUGUAAGUUAUACGAGUUCAAAUACUCACUGUGGCUAGCCCAUAUCAAUUUUGCCCUUAAAAAUAAUAUUUUUAUCUUCUCAUUUGCCUCUUCAUGGGUAUGUCCUUAUUUCUCUCUUUCACUUUGUCUCUGUCUCUCUUUCACACACAUGGACACACUCACACACCCUCAUCAAGUGAACAAUGUACUUCAAUAUAUACUGUAAAACUAUAUCAUACAGUAGCAUAAUGACAAUUAAGGUGGUUAAAUUCUGUUAUUUAUAGUAACCAACAAUACUCUCUUGUAUUUGGGUACCUCUGUAUAAUUUAAAUGCUUUCACUUCUAUUACAUCAUAUAAAUAUAGAUGCAAUGAACCAAUGACAAAAAAUAAAAAGCAAUAAUUUACUUAAAUGCACAAUCUUUUUUUUUUUUUUUUUUUUUUUUUUGUCUUUUGGGGAUUAAAAAGGGUACUUUAAGAAUGGAAGAAUGAAAAGGAUGUUUAGUUAAAU
rnacentral:lncRNA from 1 species